GGGCGGGGGCGGGCCAUGGCUCUGCUGCUGUGCCUCGGCCUGACCGCGGCGCUGGCCCGCGGCUGCCUGCACUGUCACGGCAACUUCUCGGAGAAGUUCUCCUUCUACCGCCAUCACGUGAAUCUCAAGUCCUGGUGGGUGGGCGACAUCCCCGUGUCGGGCUUGCUGCUCAGCGACUGGAGCCAGGACACGAUGAAGGAGCUGCACCUGGCCAUCCCCGCGGACGAUCACCCGGGAGAAGCUGAACCAAGUGGCGAACGCCGUGUACCAGAAGAUGGAUCAGCUGUACCAGGGGAAGAUGUAUUUCCCCGGGUACUUCCCCAACGAGCUGCGAGCCAUCUUUCGGGAGCAGGUGCACCUCAUCCAGAAUGCAAUCAUCGAAAGCCGCAUCGACUGUCAGCGUCACUGUGUGUGAGCGAGCCCCUGCCCGGUCCGUGGGGCACAGCGGUGGCGGCCAGCCCUGGAGGCCGAGGCGGGGGGAGCCUGCGGCCGCCUCUCCUGUGUUGCAGGCAUCUUCCAGUACGAGACCAUCUCCUGUACCAACUGCACGGACUCGCACGUCGUCUGCUUUGGCUACAACUGCGAGUCAUCGGCACAGUGGGAAACAGCUGUGCAGGGCCUCCUCCGGUACAUAAAUAAGUGGCACAAGUAAGUCCCCUGUCCCCAAACCCAGCAUGACUUGUAUCAGAGGCGGUGUGCUUAUGUGCCCUUGCGGGUGAGUAUGCGGAGGGCGGCCACGGGAGGCGGCACCUGCUCCAGUGCUCAGGACCCCAGCCCGCCCUUCCUCUGCGCUCAGCUGGCACCAGGGGGCGCAACACCCAAGUUAAAGGUUUCCAUAGAGUCUGGUCCUACCCCUGCCCUAAGCAGCUGGCAGGGCUGUGGUCAGAGCUGGGGUGGGGGGGGGGCGGCCCAUGAUGGAUGUGCCCCAGUGGAGGGACUUGGGGGCCACAGGCACAGCACAGCCCUAAAGCUUGGGUCUAACUGGGACCCUGUCAUGUCUUUCAGACAGGACGACCACACAAGGUAAGGCCCCCGCCCCGCCUGUUCUCUCCAAAACCCUGGCCUGGCCUUCUGGAGGGGAGCACGAGGGAGUCAGGAAAGGGGUGGCAUGGGGGCCUCUAAGUCAGGGAUGGACGGGGAGGGGCUGGCUAGGGAGACACAGCCGGCAGGGCUCUCUCUGCACCUGGGACAAGCUGGACGUCACCCCUGCAACCACACCCAAGUGACCACUUCGAAUAAACAUCGGACCUUCCUCCCCUCUCCUGGACGCACAGAACCGCUCCAGCUUUUCUGAUGUCACCAAGCUUCACAUGUCUUGAGCCCCCACACCUGGCCAACUUGACUCUGGAAAAUGCUUCCGAGUGCCUGACACAGCA